UACGUAGGGGGCAAGCGUUGUCCGGAAUCAUUGGGCGUAAAGCGCGUGUAGGCGGUCCGAUAAGUCGAUUGUGAAAGUCCAGGGCUCAACCCUGGGAUGCCGACCGAUACUGUCGGACUAGAGUUCGGAAGAGGCGAGUGGAAUUCCCGGUGUAGCGGUGAAAUGCGCAGAUAUCGGGAAGAACACCUAUGGCGAAGGCAGCACUCUGGGACGGUACUGACGCUGAGACGCGAAAGCGUGGGGAGCGAACAGG
rnacentral:rRNA from 1 species